CCUGAAAUAGUUUUCUUUCCAAUUUUGUGCUGAGAACAAGAAAACUGUUCAGGUUUGCCAGACAACAUCAUCACUUUCUCUAUAACUUUGUGCCAUAAUUUGAAGAACCUACAGGGUGUGUUUCUUGCCAUAUUGGCUGCUUUCUAAAGAAAGAGAGGACGGGGAGGGACUGCUAAACAUGAAGAAACUUCCUGCAAAGCCACCAGACUGGAAAAGAGGUAUUUUUGCCUGAAUCUAUCCUGCUUCACUAAGCCAAAUGGCUUGAAAAGUUCCAGAUUGACCUCUGCCUUACUGCUAGAACCUGUUACUUGUAAAAUGAGAAUACAAGUGUCCUAGGGUGACGUUAGGAUUCUGUUAUCCCCAUUCGUGUGUGUAAUUUAUGCUGGAUAUUAUGUUCUGUGCCUUUAAGACUGGCUCUGCAGAGUGAAAGUUUUGUUUUGGGCCUCUUAUCAGCCACUUGGUGGGACAUACAGAUAGUACAGUACAUAGUGCUGCUUUUUGCCCUGCUUUUUGCUAUGCUCUUGCUUCUGCUUUGCUUUUGCUUGCUCUUGCUUCUUUCCUCUGCUCAUUAGUUAAUUUAGCUAAACAGUCCAAAUUCCUUCCUGGACUGUUUCCCCUUUCCUGUUUGGACCUGCUGAUCCUGCUCCAGACUGGGGCCUGGGAAGCACCGAGAGAGAGUUUGCACCUUGUGGCUGCAGCAGCUGCCCCGGCGCCGGAGGGACUGAAAACAGAGCAACCACUCCAGGAGAGACUUUCUGAAUUUGUCACCUUUUUUCAGAGUGGUGAAAGAGUGGUGUCAUCCAGUAUUGUUCAUUUUGUGUGCUGGGGGGUGCUGUGCUUGUCAAAUAAACAGGUUCUUUCCA